GGGUCAGUAGGUCGGUCGUGCCACCGGUACGUACUGGUCUCAAUGAUUCCUCCUUCCUGAAGAACCGUAAUGCCAUUAAUUUGGUGUUGCGGGGAAACAGGACUGUUACUUUGAAAAAAUUAGAGUGUUUAAAGCAAGCUAACGCUUGAAUACAUUAGCAUGGAAUAAUGAAAUAGGACGAUCGAUCCUAUUUUGUUGGUUUCUAGGAUUGACGUA
rnacentral:rRNA from 1 species